UACGGAGGGUGCGAGCGUUGUCCGGAAUCACUGGGCGUAAAGGGCGCGUAGGCGGUGGCUUAAGCGUGUGGUGAAAGUCCGGGGCUCAACCCCGGAUCGGCCGUGCGAACUGGGUCACUUGAGCACUGUAGAGGCAGGUGGAAUUCCGGGUGUAGCGGUGGAAUGCGUAGAGAUCCGGAAGAACACCGGUGGCGAAGGCGGCCUGCUGGGCAGUAGCUGACACUGAGGCGCGACAGCGUGGGGAGCAAACAGG
rnacentral:rRNA from 1 species